CCUGGAAUAUUGUGUUCAUUUCUGGACAUCACUGUAUAAAGAAGACAGCUAUAAAUUGGAGCAUGUGUCAAGGAGAGUGUCCAAGAUGGCAGAGAAUAUAAAAAUGAUGCCAUAUGAAGAAUAAUUGAAGGAGCUAGAUAUGUUUAGCUCUGAGAAGAGAAGACUGGAAGAUAAUCUGAUUCCUCCAAGUUAGAAAGGCUUCCCCGAGGGAAUCACUCACCUUCCAUUACUGAACCGUCAAAAACCUGGAGCAGAGUGAGAACAUGACUGUGAGUUACAUUCCCUUCUGGAGCUGCUUGCUAGUGGUGUUCAAAGCCAUGUGGGAAGAGUCGAUGACACAACUCCUGCUCAUGCCAGCUUUAACCACUUCAAGAAAGGGAGAUGCUGUGGUGGUGUGAAGUGGCUACUGAGUUCUCCUACAUCAUUCCUCAUCUCACCAGUGUGGGCAACAGAAGACACAAAUCGCAGUGGCUCCUUUUUACUGUAAAAGAAUUCCCACCUUGACU